ensembl:lncRNA
CCUCCAUUGACUUAGGUCACCACCCUUGCCUCUGAUGUUUCAUUUUUGGGAAAUAAACCGUGAUGUGUUCAGGCAUGAUAUACUUAUGUCUGUUUAUACUAAAGCCUAACUAGCCUAUCUUACUCCACUAGUUGAAGAUGGCACCAACCCAGUCUAACAGAGUCAGUUCUCUUUUCUAAUUCCGGCCAGACUAGAGCAAAAGAGCUGGAAUCAAAGGAGAAAGAGAGAGAAAUGGAAGAGCAAACAAUAGCCUUCUACCCUCCAUUUCCAGCACAAGCUGGAGGCAAACAAAAAGAUGAGAUUGGAGCUCAACUGGUAGAAAAAAAGUCCGUAACUCAAAGGAGAUCAGCUACUUCUGCAGCAGGCCCUAUGCUAAUUACUUUAUAAGUACUCAUUCUUUCAACUUACACCAGCUCUAUGAGGCACUUCCUGUUUGAUCUUCCAGAAAACGUCUUUCUCUACAUCUACUCACUGCUCUAAAACUGCCAUGGCCUGGGCAUCACCAACAACAGCAUUUCUCACUCUGUAGCCCAUGGACCUUCGGCAGACAAGUCACCUGAAAUCAUGUUCAUAAUGCUAAUUCUUGGUUGAAACUCAGACCUGUAGAAUCAGAAUCUCUACAGAUUUGGCUGUGCAAUCCGUAUUCUGAAAAGCAUACUAGGUCUAACUAGUAAGGCCUAAGGAAAGCAAUUUAAAUCACCACAUUUGGCAUCUAAGACUUCAUACUCUCUUCCCUAUGUUCUCUCUCCCAGUGAGCCCUAGUGUUCAUGCCCCCAAUCUACCCAAGAAGCUAGUUUUGGACUUUUUUUGACUGUUAAAAUAUACAUCCUCAUGGUUAGUUUAAUUAUUUUAUUUAAACUACAGAUGACAGUUUUUCAUUAUUUUCCUUUCAAUUUUGACUGCAGAAAGAGAGAAAAAAAAAAGACAAGCGAGCCAGUAGUGAUAAUUUCCAAGAGGCAAGCAUUGAAAGGACUUAGGAUAAGAGUUCAUUUAAUUUCAUUUUAUGCAAAUAAAAUAAAAUAAUAAGAC